CCUACGGGAGGCAGCAGUGGGGAAUCUUGCGCAAUGCGCGAAAGCGUGACGCAGCAACGCCGCGUGAGGGAAGACGGCCUUCGGGUUGUAAACCUCUUUCAGGAGGGACGAAGCGUGUCUGGUGAAUAGCCAGUUCACGUGACGGUACCUCCACAAGAAGCCCCGGCUAACUACGUGCCAGCAGCCGCGGUAAUACGUAGGGGGCAAGCGUUGUCCGGAAUCAUUGGGCGUAAAGAGCGCGUAGGCGGCCCAGUAAGUCCGCUCUGAAAGUCAGGGGCUCAACCCCUGGAUGCGGGUGGAUACUGCUGGGCUAGAGUCCGGAAGAGGCGAGUGGAAUUCCUGGUGUAGCGGUGAAAUGCGCAGAUAUCAGGAGGAACACCGAUGGCGAAGGCAGCUCGCUGGGACGGUACUGACGCUGAGGCGCGAAAGCGUGGGGAGCA
rnacentral:rRNA from 1 species